rnacentral:lncRNA from 1 species
CUGGAUUUGUACCAAAGAAGGGGAGAACAGACUCCAAACAAGAGUAGAUGUGAUGACACCAAGAAAGAGCAGCCACAUAUUACCUCGAGAGGUUAACCAGAAUGCAAAUCAACAGAAUAUGAUGCUGACCAAGUACCAGGAAGAGGUGUCCCCAUCACUGUAGACGACAAGUGAUGACAGUUAUCUUGAUGGACUACAGGAAUGAUUCAAGUGCAUUCAUUAUGCAGUUUACUGAUUUGUUUGAUGUAUUUUGAUAAUUGUUCUGGCAUUCUGAUGUCAGCUGAGUAACACUUCCAUAAUGGAGACAAAUUAAGGAUCUUCUGUUUUGAAGCAGUAAAAUAGUCUCAGCAAGAAUUUUUAUUUAUUUUGCCAGCAGAACAGAAGUUUCCAUUAAUUUUCC